CCAGAAAAAGAUUUGCCCUUUUCUCUCUUUUGUGCUUCACAAGCUAAAGGAUAUCUACUGGCUGGUGGAAUGCUUCUCCUAUUGGUUAGCAAAGCACUUGGGAAUGGUGAGGAGAAUUUCGAGCAUGAAAACGUAAGGAGAAAGGGAGCAUCUUGAAUGUUAGUUCUCAGCUGCUCCUAUCUGCGAGUCCUCAUUAAUAUUCACAUUUCGGAAACUGAGGUGGACGACAAGCGGAGAUUAUUGACAGAAGUCAUGUCAGUUUGCGAAUACACAUGGGCUUGGCCAGAUGGGUCGAAGUGCCUUUCUAACUCUAUUACCAUUAGUUCGAGAUUACCAACCGAUCGAUUUGAUUGGAUAGGCGACAACCCUGGAAAAUACUGCCUAUUAUAGUAUCUAAAC